rnacentral:rRNA from 1 species
AUACGUAGGGGGCGAGCGUUGUCCGGAAUGAUUGGGCGUAAAGGGCGCGUAGGCGGCGCGGUAAGUCUGGAGUGAAAGUCCUGCUUUCAAGGUGGGAAUUGCUUUGGAUACUGCCGCGCUUGAGUGCAGGAGAGGUUAUCCGAAUUCCCGGUGUAGCGGUGAAAUGCGUAGAGAUCGGGAGGAACACCAGUGGCGAAGGCGGGUAACUGGACUGCAACUGACGCUGAGGCGCGAAAGUGUGGGGAGCAAACAGGAUUAGAUACCCUGGUAGUCCACACUGUAAACGAUGAAUGCUAGGUGUAAGAGGUAUCGACCCCUUUUGUGCCGGAGUCAACACAAUAAGCAUUCCGCCUGGGGAGUACGGCCGCAAGGUUGAAACUCAAAUGAAUUGACGGGG